rnacentral:rRNA from 1 species
AUUGAACGCUGGCGGCAGGCCUAACACAUGCAAGUCGAACGAGUGGCGGACGGGUGAGUAAUGUCUGGGAAACUGCCUGAUGGAGGGGGAUAAAGACUGGAACCGGUAGCUAAUACCGCAUAACAGCGUAUGUGCCCAGAUGGUAUUAGCUAGUAGGUGGGAUAAAGGCUCAACUAGGCGACGAUCCCUAGCUGGUCUGAGAGGAUGACCAGCCACACUGGAACUGAUACACGGUCCAGACUCCUACGGUAGGCAGCAGUGGGGAAUAUUGCACAAUGGGCGCAAGCCUGAUGCAGCCAUGCCGGGUGUAUGAAGAAGGCCUUCGGUUUGUAAAGUACUUUCAGCGGGGAGGCGUUACCCGCAGAAGAAGCACCGGCUAACUCCGUGCCAGCCGCCGCGGUAAUUC